UGAGUAACACGUGGAUAACCUACCUAUAAGACUGGGAUAACUUCGGGAAACCGGAGCUAAUACCGGAUAACAUAUUGAACCGCAUGGUUCAAUAGUGAAAGGCGGCUUUGCUGUCACUUAUAGAUGGAUCCGCGCCGUAUUAGCUAGUUGGUAAGGUAACGGCUUACCAAGGCAACGAUACGUAGCCGACCUGAGAGGGUGAUCGGCCACACUGGAACUGAGACACGGUCCAGACUCCUACGGGAGGCAGCAGUAGGGAAUCUUCCGCAAUGGGCGAAAGCCUGACGGAGCAACGCCGCGUGAGUGAUGAAGGUCUUCGGAUCGUAAAACUCUGUUAUCAGGGAAGAACAAAUGUGUAAGUAACUGUGCACAUCUUGACGGUACCUGAUCAGAAAGCCACGGCUAACUACGUGCCAGCAGCCGCGGUAAUACGUAGGUGGCAAGCGUUAUCCGGAAUUAUUGGGCGUAAAGCGCGCGUAGGCGGUUUUUUAAGUCUGAUGUGAAAGCCCACGGCUCAACCGUGGAGGGUCAUUGGAAACUGGAAAACUUGAGUGCAGAAGAGGAAAGUGGAAUUCCAUGUGUAGCGGUGAAAUGCGCAGAGAUAUGGAGGAACACCAGUGGCGAAGGCGACUUUCUGGUCUGUAACUGACGCUGAUGUGCGAAAGCGUGGGGAUCAAACAGGAUUAGAUACCCUGGUAGUCCACGCCGUAAACGAUGAGUGCUAAGUGUUAGGGGGUUUCCGCCCCUUAGUGCUGCAGCUAACGCAUUAAGCACUCCGCCUGGGGAGUACGA
rnacentral:rRNA from 1 species